AGCCGCACUUGGCCAUGCAUCAACAACCAUCAACAGCUCAAACUUGCUCAAGACGAACAAGGCCUCUCCAAGACUCCAACGCAAAAGAAGAUGCCGUCCAAGGCGAACGCUAAAUCAUUCAGGUAACCGUAAACCCCAUGCUGCAACAGAAGGUCCUGCAAAACAUGCAUCGUCUAGUUCUGCGAUGAGCACCAAGCAUUCAAGCUUGGACAAUCGUCCACAUAAACAGGCAUCUUCCACCGGCACAGCUAAAUCGACCAAAAGUCAUGCCACACCGCCGAUAUCAGGCAGCAAAAAGCAAAGCAACUAAUCAACCUAGCGAAAGGCUACAAUCCUUCUAAUAAGUGGUGAAUCCAGAAUCAAGAAAUUUAUUAAUUCUCUCGUAUGUAUGGACUGAUGGAGAAGGAUGUUAAGCUAGAUUAGCAUACUUUGCCUCUGGUAGGAGGAGUUACAAGUAGUUAAGAUGUGCAAAAGAAAUAUGGCUUAAUUAAUUUAUUGCAUAUUAUUACAUCAGUUUCGAAAUAUAAGAUUUUUUAGAAAGCUAAAUUAGCUAUCUAAAAAGGGUUAUAUUUAGGAACGGAGGUAGUAGUCGUUUGUAUGUACUUUGUAGUGUUUGACUUUGUGAAUAUGUACUUUUAGUAUUCCUCGAAAAAAAUAUGUACUUUUAGUCCAUAGAGUAUGUUGCUAUUGUAAUAAUAAACUCACGUGUAAAUUUGGAUUAUUUAGUUCCCAUGGGCCUGGAAAAUAAUCAAAUGGGGAUUGUCCCAUCAU